AGUGAACGCUGGCGGUAGGCCUAACACAUGCAAGUCGAACGGCAGCACAGUAAGAGCUUGCUCUUACGGGUGGCGAGUGGCGGACGGGUGAGGAAUACAUCGGAAUCUACUUUUUCGUGGGGGAUAACGUAGGGAAACUUACGCUAAUACCGCAUACGACCUACGGGUGAAAGCAGGGGAUCUUCGGACCUUGCGCGAUUGAAUGAGCCGAUGUCGGAUUAGCUAGUUGGCGGGGUAAAGGCCCACCAAGGCGACGAUCCGUAGCUGGUCUGAGAGGAUGACCAGCCAAAGAGGAGAUGCGAGACGGUCAAGGAUCCGAGAGGAGGCAGAAGAGGGGAGUGUAGGGCAAGGGGCGCAAGCCGGAAGCAGUCAUGGCGCGUGGGGGAAGAAGGGCUGCGGGUUGAAAGUCUUGUUUGUGAGGAAAAAAAAGCAGCUGCUGAAUCCCCCGCUGUUCUGACGGGACAAAAAGAAUAAGAGCGGGCUAACGGCGUGACAGGGGGCGCGGGAAUAGAUGGAAGACAAACUUCUAAAC
rnacentral:rRNA from 1 species